UACAGAGGUGGCAAGCGUUGUUCGGAAUUACUGGGCUUAAAGAGUUCGUAGGCGGCGCAGAAAGUAGGGUGUGAAAGCCCUCGGCUCAACCGAGGAAUUGCGCUCUAAACUACUGUGCUUGAGGAAUCUAGAGGUGAGCGGAACUGAUGGUGGAGCGGUGAAAUGCGUUGAUAUCAUCAGGAACACCGGAGGCGAAGGCGGCUCACUGGGGAUUUUCUGACGCUGAGGAACGAAAGCCAGGGGAGCGAACGGG
rnacentral:rRNA from 1 species